rnacentral:rRNA from 1 species
AUUGCACGCUGGCGGCAGGCCUCACACAUGCAAGUCGAACGAGUGGCGGACGGGUGAGUAAUGUCUGGGAAACUGCCCGAUGGAGGGGGAUAACUACUGGAAACGGUAGCUAAUACCGCAUACCAUCGGAUGUGCCCAGAUGGGAUUAGCUAGUGGGUGGGGUAACCGCUCACCUAGGCGACGAUCCAUAGCUGGUCUGAUAGGAUGACCAGCCAACCUGGAACUGAGACACGGGCCAGACUCCGACGGGAGUCAGCCGUGGGGAAUAUUGCACAAUGGGCGCAAGCCGGAUGCAGCCAUGCCGCGUGUAUGAAGACGGCCUUCGGGUUGUAAAGUACUUUCAGCGAGGAGGCGUUACUCGCAGAAGAAGCACCGGCUAACUCCGUGCCAGCAGCCGCGGUAAUAC